AUCCAACUGAUGAGUCCCAAAUAGGAUGAAACGUAUGUCCUCGAU
rfam:Schistosoma curassoni strain Dakar, Senegal genome assembly, scaffold: SCTD_scaffold0000187